GACAAGAAAUAACAAUACAGGGCAAUUGUCUUGUAAUUGGAAUGAUGGUGACCUAAACCCUCACCAGAGUAACAAUUGGAGGGCAAGUCUGGUGCCAGCAGCCGCGGUAAUUCCAGCUCCAAUAGCGUAUAUUAAACUUGUUGCAGUUAAAAAGCUCGUAGUUGAAUUAGUGCGUUAUCGAGUUAUUGACUCUUGUCUUUAAUCGAUUUCGCUUUUGGGAUUUAUCCCUUUUUACUUUGAGAAAAUUAGAGUGUUUCAAGCAGACUUUUGUCUUGAAUACUUCAGCAUGGAAUAAUAGAGUAGGACUUUGGUUCUAUUUUGUUGGUUUUUGAACCUUAGUAAUGGUUAAUAGGAACGGUUGGGGGCAUUCGUAUUUAACUGUCAGAGGUGAAAUUCUUAG
rnacentral:rRNA from 1 species